rnacentral:rRNA from 1 species
GAUGAACGCUGGCGGCGUGCCUAAUACAUGCAAGUCGAACGCAUUGUGGUUGAAAUGAUAUGAAGAACUUGUUCAGAUUUGAUUUUCAACAUUGCAAUGAGUGGCGAACGGGUGAGUAACACGUGGGAAACCUACCUCUUAGCAGGGGAUAACAUUUGGAAACAAAUGCUAAUACCGUAUAAUAAUUAAAACCGCAUGGUUUUAGUUUAAAAGAUGGUCUUGCUAUCACUAAGAGAUGGUCCCGCGGUGUAUUAGUUAGUUGGUGAGGUAAUGGCUCACCAAGACAAUGAUACAUAGCCGAGUUGAGAGACUGACCGGCCACAAUGGGACUGAGACACGGCCCAUACUCCUACGGGAGGCAGCAGUAGGGAAUCUUCCACAAUGGACGAAAGUCUGAUGGAGCAACGCCGCGUGUGUGAUGAAGGGUUUCGGCUCGUAAAACACUAGUUGUAAGAGAAGAAUGACAUUGAGAGUAACUGUUCAAU